CAUACGAAACGAUACCACGGGGGGGAGGUUUAGCGAAGGUCACCCCGACCAGAGCGGCAUUUCCCCUAUGGAUAUCCCCUUGGAGCCGCAGCGGUCAGUCACGAAUGUUGCCUCGAUGGUGUUUCCCGGUCUUAGCGGGCUGGGGGGUGCUUGAGAAGUGACCAAAGAGGCCGAAGUUUCCCGGGGCAAUCGACUCUGUCGUGUCGUCUUGGGGGGCUGAAGCCUCGUGCCAAAUUGCAGGAAGGGUUCUCCCGCAAGGGGGGGCCUGACCGGCAGCCAACCCGGAGUGGGGCUUCACGGCCUUGCAAAGGGAGGUUCAGAGACUAUAGGGCACUAUGGGGGGUGUGGGGCCUAAGCAGAACGUGGGGGGGUAGCUGCCUCCAUCAAGUACGCCCGGGUUUUGCGCUCUCCUACUAGUAAUAGUCCACCGACAGGACGCGAAAGCUUGAGCGGGUGGCUUGUUUCCCUGUUCGCACCUUCCGGGGGCGCCCUUUUCGGGGGGUUCUUUCGGAGCGAGUGAGCGUGGGGGGCAUUGGCCAGAGGCUCUCAUAGCCCAGUAACGUCCGCCUUAGGUG
rnacentral:ribozyme from 1 species